GACUGUUUUAGUUACAGAUUUUCCUGUUUCCAGAAACUGCAAAUCUGUGAAGUUCUCUGCAUUUUACUUCAUCUUUAAAUAUCUACUGUUCGAAUUUAGAAUAUCCUCCCUGGUUUUCCUGUUACUGGUAAGAUGACAACCACACUGUUCCUGAGAAGGAAUAGGAAAGCAAUUUACAUUUUGCAGUGAUUAGUGGCUAUUAAACAGCUGAUAAAAGUAUCCUAUACUUUCCAUGUGAAAGCUAACUGAAAAAAUCAGCAAACAACUGUGUAAAAUUUCUUCACCUAGAGCCUGGCUGGGCACUAGAACAGGCUCGUGAGGUAAGUGUUCACAGCACCAGCAUGAUAGAACUCAAGUGUGUGACUCCCGGGGUGUCAUACAAAGAGCCACAAGUGGGACUUAGUGAUCCUGAUGGGUCCCUUCUAACUCAGCAUAUUCUGUAAUU